UCUACAUUUGACUAAUUUGGUCCCUUGUUGCCUGGACAUCUUAAAGUUGAUUUUGGUGAUGCAGUUGCCCUUUAGAAAAUCUUUAAAGAGCACCGUGACUGAAUAGCUGGGUUUUUGUUUGAGCCUAUUCUAGGAGAGGCAGGGGUAUGUAUGAUUGGACAUAAAUCUUUUUACACUACUGAUGGUUGAUUUUCUUUUUAUACCCAUUGUUUGGGUUAUAAUGAGUUUAUUUCUACUUUUGAUCCAUCCUUAUUGGACUUCAAUGAAAUUGCAAGUUUGUUUGCACAAACGAGUUUCUAUAUCCAGAUUGAUGGCAAUUUGAGAGAGUCCGCCACUGCAAUUGAUGGACGUGUCUAACAUAAAAAUAGGUCGUUGAUAAUAGCAAAUUCCCAAAUUUAAGAUCGAUUCUGUUGAAUUUGAAACACUCACACUAGGGUCCUUGCCGCCAACUUUUCAAGAUUGGCUCUGCUAUUGGUGGUACUUAUUUUAGCUCAUGAAUUGGAGGUAGUAGAGGAUGCAGAAUGCAAGUUUAUUUGAAGCCAAGUUUCAUUCAAGGUCAUUGAGUUGGGUUGAUAGAAGUAAUGUUUUGUAUAUGACAAUAUUGAACAAAUAUGUAAAGUUUUCAAAAUGUUGAUACAUAUAUGGUAAAAUGUUAAUAUA